AUACGGAGGGUCCAAGCGUUAUCCGGAUUCAUUGGGUUUAAAGGGUCCGCAGGCGGGAAAAUAAGUCAGUGGUGAAAGCCUACAGCUCAACUGUAGAACUGCCAUUGAUACUGUUUUUCUUGAGUAUAGAUGGAGUGGGCGGAAUAUAUCAUGUAGCGGUGAAAUGCAUAGAUAUGAUAUAGAACACCGAUUGCGAAGGCAGCUCACUAAACUAUUACUGACGCUCAGGGACGAAAGCGUGGGGAGCGAACAGGAUUAGAAACCCCAGUAGUCC
rnacentral:rRNA from 1 species